rnacentral:rRNA from 1 species
AGGGUGUAAACGCUGCAGACUUGGUGUUGGGAACCCUUCGGGGGUGCUCAGUGCCGGAGAGAAGUUGUUAAGUCUGCUACUUGGGGAGUACGUCCGCAAGGAUGAAACUUAAAGGAAAUUGGCGGGGGGAGGCACCGCAACGGGAGGAGCGUGCGGUUUAAUUGGAUUCAACACCGUAAAACUCACCAGGGAAGACUGUUACAUGAAGGCCGAGAUGAAGACUCUGCUAGAUUUUCUAGAGAGGAGGUGCAUGGCGUCAGUGACU